rnacentral:lncRNA from 1 species
AUAUACAAACUGCAGGUCCGCCAUUAACUACAACUUCAAAUCCCAUUCCUUAAUUGUUAUGAGCCUCAGCUGCCAGGAAACUGAAACUCGGUGAAAUUAAUGAGAUCAAGAUGAUAGCAUUGUAGAGGCACACAAUAAUGGCGAGAGACCGGCGGAAUCUUGUUAUUGCCAACUCUUGGCUUCAUACUAUAACUAAAUGGAUUCUCCAAUCCUCCAUACACAGUUCC